rnacentral:rRNA from 1 species
AUUGAACGCUGGCGGCAGGCCUAACACAUGCAAGUCGAGCGGAUGAAGGGAGCUUGCUCCUGGAUUCAGCGGCGGACGGGUGAGUAAUGCCUAGGAAUCUGCCUGGUAGUGGGGGAUAACGUCCGGAAACGGGCGCUAAUGCCGCAUACGUCCUGAGGGAGAAAGUGGGGGAUCUUCGGACCUCACGCUAUCAGAUGAGCCUAGGUCGGAUUAGCUAGUUGGUGGGGUAAAGGCCUACCAAGGCGACGAUCCGUAACUGGUCUGAGAGGAUGAUCAGUCACACUGGAACUGAGACACGGUCCAGACUCCUACGGGAGGCAGCAGUGGGGAAUAUUGGACAAUGGGCGAAAGCCUGACCCAGCCAUGCCGCGUGUGUGAAGAAGGUCUUCGGAUUGUAAAGCACUUUAAGUUGGGAGGAAGGGCAGUAAGUUAAUACCUUGCUGUUUUGACGUUACCAACAGAAUAAGCACCGGCUAACUUCGUG